AUAGUGAGUGUGGUGUUAGUAUAGGGGUGUGAUAGUGAGUGUGGUGUUAGUAUAGGGGUGUGAUAGUGAGUGUGGUGUUAGUAUAGGGCUGUGAUAGUGAGUGCAGUGUUAGUGUAGGGGUUUGAUAGUGAGUGUGGUGUUAUUGUAGCGGUGUGAUAGUGUCCGUGGUAUUAGUGUAGGGGUGUGAUAGUGUGUGUGGUGUUAGUGUAGGAGUGUGGUAGUCAAUUUUUACUCGCCCGGUAUUUAAGUGUGUGUGUGUGUGUGUGUGUGUGUGUGUGUGUGUGUGUGUGUGUGUGUGUGUGUGUGUGUGUGUGUGUGUGUG